ensembl:lncRNA
AUUUGGAAGUGUUGGGACAGAGCAUGUUGAAUGGUAGUGAAGGAAAGGACACAAGGAGAGGAGUCUAUUUGGAAGUGUUGGGACAGAGCAUGUUGAAUACUUAGAAAAUGCAUUAUUCCUCGCUUCCAAGUGAUUCCACUAAAUGUCUUUCACCUUAACCGAUGUCAGAUCAGAGUUUACACCAAGGAAGGAAUUAAGGAUGCAUUUCAUUUUUAACUAUUCAAACAGGGGCCCUUUUUCAGCUUGGUUAAAACUGACCCUGGGCUGAGUUCUAUUUCAGCUGGUGUUUCCAGACACAGCCAGGGAGGUUCCUAAGGGUCAGAACAGACAGGGAGGUUCCUACAGGGUCAGAACAGACAGGGAGGUUCCUACAGGGUCAGAACAGACAGGGAGGUUCCUACAGGGUCAAAACAGACAGGGAGGUUCCUACAGGGUCAAAACAGACAGGGAGGUUCCUACAGGGUCAGAACAGACAGGGAGGUUCCUACAGGGUCAGAACAGACAGGGAGGUUCCUACAGGGUCAAAACAGACAGGGAGGUUCCUACAGGGUCAAAACAGACAGGGAGGUUCCUACAGGGUCAAAACAGACAGGGAGGUUCCUACAGGGUCAGAACAGACAGGGAGGUUCCUACAGGGUCAGAACAGACAGGGAGGUUCCUACAGGGUCAAAACAGACAGGGAGGUUCCUACAGGGUCAAAACAGACAGGGAGGUUCCUACAGGGUCAAAACAGACAGGGAGGUUCCUACAGGGUCAAAACAGACAGGGAGGUCAGAAUACUCCCCCC